rnacentral:rRNA from 1 species
AUUGAACGCUGGCGGCAUGCCUUACACAUGCAAGUCGAACGGUCACGGGCCUUCGGGUGCCGACGAGUGGCGAACGGGUGAGUAAUACAUCGGCACGUGCCCGAUCGCGGGGGAUAACGAGGAGAAAGCUUUGCUAAUACCGCAUACGAUCUACGGUUGAAAGCAGGGGACCGCAAGGCUUUGCGCGGACGGUGCGGUCGCUGGCAGAUUAGGUAGUUGGUGGGAUAAUAGCUUACCAAGCCGACGAUGUGUAGCUGGUCUGAGAGGAUGAUCAGCCACACUGGGACUGAGACACGGCCCAGACUCCUACGGGAGGCAGCAGUGGGGAAUUUUGGACAAUGGGCGCAAGCCUGAUCCAGCCAUGCCGCGUGCAGGAUGAAGGCCUUCGGGUUGUAAACUUCUUUUGUACGGAACGAAAAGCCUUCUUUGAAUACAGGAGGGUCAUGACGGUACCGUAAGAAUAAGCACCGGCUAACUACGUG